UAUAAUUAACUUUAUAACAUUCUAAAACAGUUUCAUAGGUUUGUGAAAAAAGGACAUAGACCUCUUUUUGCAAGGGAAAAGCUGACUUUGACAAGCAAGCAAGUCCCAACUCGGAAACAAAUCCAAACCCCCAAAAGGUCUACAAUGUGUGCACAGUUGGAGAGAUAAAGAUGACAAGCGUGCACAUGCCCCCCAAGAAGAGGGCCAGCAAAAACAGCCUGUUCAAGUUUAUUCGAUAAUGAUCCUUCCGCAGGUUCACCUACGGAAA
rnacentral:misc_RNA from 1 species